UUUUUCUCCCUUCCAAGAAUUCAGUGGCUUGACUUGAGUUGGAACGGCAUAUCUGGAUGGGUUCAAAGCAAAGGUCCGUAUCUUCUUCUUUAUUUGUAGUUUCAAUAUUGUGGAUCAUUUUUAGGAUUAUCAUCUCUUCCAAGCAAUUCUUUUUACAUGCAGUUUACAGAAACUACCAGAUUGAGGUUCUUGAUUUAGGUGUAACUUCCUCAAUAAUAGCAUAUUUUCAUCGUUAUCUGGCCUCACUUCAUUAAAAACACUAAUCUUAUCGUAAUAGAUUGAAUGGAACUGUAAUUGUUCAAGGAGUUGAAUCGUUGAGGAACUUAGGGGAGCUGGAUUUGAGUGGAAACCAGAUUGGCAAAUUUGUUUUUCCUAAAGAUUUCAAAGGUUUGAGAAAGUUGAAUGCCUUUAUCUAGAGAAUCUCAAAAAUAUUGAUGGAAGCACUUUGUUACAGUCAUUGGGGUCAUUCUCAUUCUUAAAGAAACUUGACUUGAGCUAUAGUAAUUUCAGACGUGGAACAAUGACUACUCAAGAGUUGAAGAAUUUGACCAAUGUGGAAGACUUGAUCUUGGAUUAUUCCUCUCUUCACAUAACCAUUCUUCGAAGCUUUGGAGCUUUCACUUCGCUUAAACGUUUGUCGAUGAAGAACUGUAAACUUAGUGGCAUCUUGCACAA